UGGGGAAUAUUGGACAAUGGGGGCAACCCUGAUCCAGCAAUGCCGCGUGUGUGAAGAAGGCCUUAGGGUUGUAAAGCACUUUAGGCUGGGAAGAAGUUGUAUUGUUUAAGAGAUGAUACGAUUGACGGUACCGGCAGAAUAAGCACCGGCUAACUCUGUGCCAGCAGCCGCGGUAAUACAGAGGGUGCGAGCGUUAAUCGGAGUUACUGGGCGUAAAGGGCGCGUAGGCGGUUAAAUAAGAUUGAUGUGAAAUCCCUGGGCUUAACCUAGGAACGGCAUUGAUAACUGUUUAACUGGAGUACUGUAGAGGGUAGUGGAAUUUCCGGUGUAGCGGUGAAAUGCGUAGAGAUCGGAAGGAACACCAGUGGCGAAGGCGGCUACCUGGACAGAUACUGACGCUGAGGCGCGAGAGCGUGGGGAGCAAACA
rnacentral:rRNA from 1 species